UACGUAGGGUGCGAGCGUUGUCCGGAAUUAUUGGGCGUAAAGGGCUCGUAGGCGGUUUGUCGCGUCGGGAGUGAAAACCAGGUGCUUAACACCUGGCUUGCUUUCGAUACGGGCAGACUAGAGGUAUUCAGGGGAGAACGGAAUUCCUGGUGUAGCGGUGAAAUGCGCAGAUAUCUGGAGGAACACCGGUGGCGAAGGCGGCAUUCUGGACCGAUAUUGACGCUGAGGAGCGAAAGCCAGGGGAGCAAACGGG
rnacentral:rRNA from 1 species